GUGAACGCUGGCGGUGGCGCCUAACACAUGCAAGUCGAGUGGGUUUAGACCCACGGCGAACGGCUGCGUAACACGUUGGUACGUCCCCCGAACUCAGGGAUAUCCCGCCGAAAGGCGGAGUAAUACCGGAUGAUCCCGCGAGGGCAAAGAUUUAUCGGUUUGGGACGGCCUGCGGCCUAUCAGAUAGUUGGUAGGUAACGGCUUACCAAGUCUAUGACGGGUAGCUGAUCUGAGAGGAUGAUCAGCCAGAAUGGAACUGAGACACGGUCCAUACUCCUACGGGAGGCAGCAGUGAGGAAUCUUCCGCAAUGGGCGAAAGCCUGACGGAGCGACACCGCGUGAAGGAUGAAGCCCUUUUUGGGUGUAAACUUCUGUUCUGAGGGACGAAAUUUUUGACGGUACCUCAGGAGAAAGCAUCGGCUAACCCUGUGCCAGCAGCCGCGGUAAGACAGGGGAUGCAAGCGUUACUCGGAAUUACUGGGCGUAAAGCGUCUGCAGGCCUUCCACCACGUCUGGCGUAAAAGCACGAAGCUCAACUCCGUGUACGUGCCGGAAACGAGUGGAAUCGAGUCAUUCAGAGGCAUCUGGAAUGUCGUGUGUAGGGGUAAAAUCCGUAGAUCCACGAUGGAACGCCAAAAGCGAAGGCAGGAUGCUGGGAAUGUACUGACGCUCAGAGACGAAAGCGUGGGGAGCAAAGGGGAUUAGAUACCCCCGUAGUCCACGCCCUAAACUAUGCGGGCUCGGUGUAGGGAUUUUCAAUUGUCCCUGUGCCUUAGCUAACGCGGUAAGCCCGCCGCCUGGGAAGUACGGCCGCAAGGCUAAAACUCAAAGGAAUAGACGGGGACCCACACAAGCGGUGGAGCAUGGGGUUUAAUUCGAUGGUAAACGAAGAACCUCACCCAGACUUGACAUCCUAGGAAUCCGGCCGAAAGGUUGGAGUGCCGCAAGGAACCUAGAGACAGGCGAUGCACGGUCGUCGUCAGCUCGUGCCUUGAGGUGUACUGUUAAGUCAGCGAACGAGCGCAACCCUCAUCCUAUGUUGUUCUUUCAUGGGGGACUGCCGCCUCCAAGGCGGAGGAAGGUGGGGAUGACGUCAGAUCAGCGUGUCCUUUAUGUCUGGGGCAACACCCAUGCUACAAUGGUCGGUACAAAGGGCAGCGAACCCGUCAGGGGGAGCCAAUCCCAUCAAACCCGAUCUCAGUUCGGAUUGCCGGCUGCAACUCGCCGGCAUGAAGUUGGAAUCGCUAGUAACCGUAGGUCAGCGAUACUACGGUGAAUAAGUUCCUGGGUCUUGUACUCACCGCCCGUCAAGUCAUGAAAGGCAGGGGCACCCGAAGCACCUUUACCCGCAAGGGGAGGUACCACGGUGAAACUGCUGAUUGGGACU
rnacentral:rRNA from 1 species